rnacentral:rRNA from 1 species
UACGUAGGGGCCGAGCGUUGUCCGGAGUUAUUGGGCGUAAAGCGCGCGCAGGCGGCCUCGCGCGCCCGACGUGAAAGCCCCCCGGCUUAACCGGGGAGGGUCGUUGGGGACGGCGGGGCUUGAGGGCGGGAGAGGGAAGCGGAAUUCCCGGUGUAGUGGUGAAAUGCGUAGAUAUCGGGAGGAACACCAGUGGCGAAGGCGGCUUCCUGGCCUGUUCUUGACGCUGAGGCGCGAAAGCUAGGGGAGCAAACGGGAUUGAGAUACCCG